CCAACACUUAACUGUACUUAUUACUAAACUUACUCUCUCUCUCUCUCUCUCUCUCUCUUUAUCUUCCGGAGUGCUCUAUCUUAAAAUCUGAGGUCGUAGCUGGAAUCAGUUUCAUUCAAUAGCCUCUGAGCCACCCCCAAAGAUGAUUCCAAUGGAUAAUCACUUUGUGCCGCCGAGCACUAGCACCACCGGUCUUGUAUUCCCGGCGAUUUACGCUGCCUCCGGGUUACAGCCACCUGUGGAUACUUUGGCUUCUGUGGCUGGAGUCAAAUCUGAAGCUGCUUUGGUCAUGGAUUGGUCCCCUGAGGAGCAGUUUGUACUGGAGAACAGCCUUGCAAAAUUAACAAAUAAACCGAAGAUUUCAAAGUAUGUAAAGAUUGCUGCAACACUACCAGAUAAAACUGUGAGGGAUGUAGCAUUGAGGUGUAGAUGGAUGUCGGGAAAACGGAGAAAAAGAAAAGAAAAUAGUGCUGGGAAGAACGUUUACAAUAGAAAGGUGGUGGAUACAUCCCCAGAACUGAGCAUGUUAGCCAAUGUGCCACAACAAAAUGCUUUAUAUGUCAUGAACAAUAUGUGCCACAGUACACACAUGCCUCGUGAAGGUUUAAGUGAUGCAGUAAUGGAUCUUCUACAGCAAAACGCUCAAGCGUUUAGUCAAAUUUCAUACAACCUCUCUGUGUGCAAGCUGCAGGAUAACAUCAGUCUCUUUGAUCAGACAAGAAAUAACAUCAGCGCCAUUCUGACUAAUAUGAAGGAGAUGCCAGGUAUCAUGAGCAGGAUGUCGGCUCUACCUGUUACAGUUAACGAUGAUCUUGCAAGCCAUUUAUUGUCGAGUACAACACAGCCAACAUCAUACACCAUUCACCCAAGCAGCCACCUGAAGCAAGAGCCGAGAAUUUGAUGGGGAAAAGCUGGAUUUUGACGGAUGCUAAAGGAAACAGCACUAGUACCUGGUAAGUGAUGGACAUGACAUGACAUGACACAGACACAAGGGUUAUGAACUGCAGACACCUCUCCAAAUCACACACGGGAUUGACAAUCGGCACUGGUGGAAUACUUGUGCUCUGGGGGGAGUUUGACUGAGAAGAAUGAACUACAGGCCGAGGGACCCUUACUUUUAAGACAGACAACAGUGUAACUUCGAGACUAUAAUGGCUUGUAACUCAUAACACAGCUUAGCAAGGUGGCAGAGGAAACUAUUACAGCCGGUUUAUGCAGUUUUCCAAGAAGACAAGGGUGGAGUUUCAGAGUUCUUGUAGGUAACUAUAUAAGUAGCUGAUCUUUCCCCUUUCACAGAAUCUGGACGUCCCAUGGCUUCAAGCUCAGCCAUCUCUUGGCUUGUGAGUUUCACAGAUAAAGCUCCAAUGUUCUGAUUAAGGUUUUUGAUCUUGGAGGUUCCUGGAAAGGGGCAGACAUCAUCUCCUUGGUUGGUGAACCCAUGCGAGUGCUAGUUGUACAGGAGUGCAGCUUUUCUUUUCCGCCAUUGCAUUUACCUUCUCAUAGAGAAUCUUGUUGUGGUCUUAGUUCUCUUGUUGGAAUCUCGGUAAGCCCUGGAAUAUAGCAAAACAUAGUCUUAGUAUAACAUUCAUAAUAAGAUUUUGAUACUCCAUGAAUCCA